AGGUCGAAAGUCUUUGCGAGAAGUGUGAUGUAUCUUGUGUUAUAGAAGUUAUGAAAACAUUAACGAGUGUAGUUACAGCAUGCGAAUUCGCGUGUUGAAGAUCGAUUCAAAAGCGAGAAUAUUAAUUGUAACGCUAGUGAAGAAAUUGCCCGCAUCUCGAGUAUUUCGUUGAAAGAUCGAAAUAGCAGAAAAUGAGAAACAAAUUAAGAGGAAAAUGGAAUGAAGAGAGCAUGAAAAAGGCUGUGAGCAAGGCUACAUCUAACAAAAUGACCGCGUGGGAAACAGCUGAAACGUUUUCAACAAUUACAAAAGAAAAAAAUCUGCACGAUGGACAAGCAAUUAAAUGCAGAAAAAAUAAAGUCUUAAACAGAGAGAAACAAAGCUGAUCAUAGAUCGGGUGUUCCAAAGUAAAAUAAGCACUCGUGGGUGGCCGGUGGAAAUUCAUUUAAAAAGCGGCGAAGGAAACUGAAAUUUUCUGGAAAUAAGGAGUCCACCGAGGAGACUGAAAAGGCAUUAUGUGUCAGGAGUCAUUUGAAGAAGACUGGGUGCUGCGUACAAAGUGUAGAGGCUGGGCGUAUCUUGCAUGUCUGCAUCAGGAGAAUAUUUUGUAUUUUAUCUGCGAUAUGUGUAAAGCAGUCAGCUAAACACUGGUGCGCUCUGCUGAAAUAGUAACAUUAGUUUCCCAUGGCUUUGUGUUCUGUUAUGAUUCAACAAGUAUCAGCCCAGUGUAUCAUUACCAACAGGUAUUAUCGCAGAAAAGACAAUGUCCGAUACUCAAAGACACUUUCUACACGCGUUGUAAUUCUAGUUCCGCUUUCGAUGUAAUCAAGUACUGUAAAAUAAAAAUGAAAAUCAUUGCAC